UACGUAGGUGGCAAGCGUUGUCCGGAAUUAUUGGGCGUAAAGCGCGCGCAGGCGGCCUCUUAAGUCUGAUGUGAAAUCUUGCGGCUCAACCGCAAGCGGCCAUUGGAAACUGGGGGGCUUGAGUACAGAAGAGGAGAGUGGAAUUCCACGUGUAGCGGUGAAAUGCGUAGAUAUGUGGAGGAACACCAGUGGCGAAGGCGGCUUUUUGGUCUGUAACUGACGCUGAGGCGCGAAAGCGUGGGGAGCAAACAGG
rnacentral:rRNA from 1 species